AACGAACGCUGGCGGCAGGCUUAACACAUGCAAGUCGAGCGCCCCGCAAGGGGAGCGGCAGACGGGUGAGUAACGCGUGGGAAUCUACCCAUCUCUACGGAAUAACGCAUGGAAACGCGUGCUAAUACCGUAUACGUCCUUCGGGAGAAAGAUUUAUCGGAGAUGGAUGAGCCCGCGUUGGAUUAGCUAGUUGGUGGGGUAAAGGCCUACCAAGGCGACGAUCCAUAGCUGGUCUGAGAGGAUGAUCAGCCACACUGGGACUGAGACACUGCCCAGACUCCUACGGGAGGCAGCAGUGGGGAAUAUUGGACAAUGGGCGCAAGCCUGAUCCAGCCAUGCCGCGUGAGUGAUGAAGGCCCUAGGGUUGUAAAGCUCUUUCACCGGUGAAGAUAAUGACGGUAACCGGAGAAGAAGCCCCGGCUAACUUCGUGCCAGCCGCCGCCGUAAUAC
rnacentral:rRNA from 1 species